rnacentral:rRNA from 1 species
GACGAACGCUGGCGGCGUGCUUAACACAUGCAAGUCGAACGGUAAGGCCCUUCGGGGUACACGAGUGGCGAACGGGUGAGUAACACGUGGGUGAUCUGCCCUGCACUUCGGGAUAAGCCUGGGAAACUGGGUCUAAUACCGGAUAGGACCACUGCCUGCAUGGGUGGUGGUGGAAAGCUUUUGCGGUGUGGGAUGGGCCGGCGGCCUAUGAGCUUGUUGGUGGGGUGAUGGCCUACCAAGGCGACGACGGGUAGCCGGCCUGGGAGGGUGACCGGCCACACUGGGACGGAGAUGCGGGCCAGACGCCUACGGGAGGCAGCAGUGGGGAAUAUGGCUCAAUGGGCGCAAGCCUGAUGCAGCGACGCCGCGUGAGGGAUGACGGCCUUCGGGUUGUAAACCUCUUUCAGCACCGACGAAGCGCAAGUGACGGUAGGUGCAGAAGAAGGACCGGCCAACUACGUGCCAGCCGCCGCGGUAA